rnacentral:rRNA from 1 species
GACCAGACUCCUACGGGAGGCAGCAGUGGGGAAUAUUGCACAAUGGGGGAAACCCUGAUGCAGCAACGCCGCGUGAGUGAGGAAGUAUUUCGGUAUGUAAAGCUCUAUCAGCAGGGAAUAGAAAAGAAGGUACCUGAAAAAGAAGCCCCGGCUAACUACGUGCCAGCAGCCGCGGUAAUACGUAGGGGGCAAGCGUUAUCCGGAUUUACUGGGUGUAAAGGGAGCGUAGACGGCUGUGCAAGUCUGGAGUGAAAGGCAUGGGCUCAACCUGUGGACUGCUUUGGAAACUGUGCGGCUUGAGUGUCGGAGAGGCAAGUGGAAUUCCUAGUGUAGCGGUGAAAUGCGUAGAUAUUAGGAGGAACACCAGUGGCGAAGGCGGCUUGCUGGACGAUGACUGACGUUGAGGCUCGAAAGCGUGGGGAGCAAACAGGAUUAGAUACCCGGGUA